rnacentral:rRNA from 1 species
CGGAGGGAGCUAGCGUUGUUCGGAAUUACUGGGCGUAAAGCGUACGUAGGCGGUCAUUCAAGUCAGAGGUGAAAGCCCGGGGCUCAACCCCGGAACUGCCUUUGAAACUAGAUGACUAGAAUCUUGGAGAGGUCAGUGGAAUUCCGAGUGUAGAGGUGAAAUUCGUAGAUAUUCGGAAGAACACCAGUGGCGAAGGCGACUGACUGGACAAGUAUUGACGCUGAGGUACGAAAGCGUGGGGAGCAAACAGGAUU